AACGCAGCCGAAAACCUUCAGGCUGCCUAACGGAAUUGCGUCCGGCCGCUGACCACGGAUGAACUGGCAUCGGCCGUCGAGGCAAUCGGGAGAAGGUCGGGAGUUCCCGGCCUUUUUCAUU
rnacentral:sRNA from 2 species